rnacentral:lncRNA from 1 species
AUGUUCUCCUGAAGUUCUACAUAUGGUAACUCCAUGUUCUCCUGCAGUUCUACAUAUGAAAACUCCAUGUUCUCCUGCAGUUCUACAUAUGGUCAUAUGAUAACUCUAUAUUCUCCCUAAGUUCUACAUGUGAUAACUCACUGUUCUCCUGAAUUCUACAUAUGAUAACUCCAUGUUCUCCUGAAGUUCUACAUAUGGUAACUCCAUGUUCUCCUGAAGUUCUAUGUAUGGCAAUUUGUUGUCCUCCUCCAAAGCGUAUUUAAUGUACCAUUUCCUCUUUCCACUCUCUUUAUACUGCACUGAAUUAGGGGCCUGCUCUUGUAAGCAAGAAAUGAUUUGCUUUCAAACUGCAUAUAACUUGCAUACACAGAACAUGUAGUAGUAACUUGUUAAAAAAUACACUCCCACCUCAGCUGCUGAUUGUGUUUUUGGGGCAGGUGGGAAAAGGAAUGCUCUUUAAAAGCUCAGUUGAGAAAAUGGAGUGUUCAUUCCAUGGGUUGCUAAACAGUACCAGCAGUUAAACCGAGUACUGUUUUUUACCAUUUGCCAGAUAAACAGAGGUGCUGGGCAUUGUUCAGAAUCAAUCCCGUGGCUGUGAGGAGGCUCUGGAAGGAUGUCUCCGGCUCACUCCUGGCCUUCAGCAACAAACGAGGCCAGUAAUGUGACAAGGUGGGUAAAGCCGCUGACUACAGUGCCGGCAUCCCACAUGGCCACCUGUUUGAGACCCAGCUGCUCCACUUCCAAUCCAGCUCUCUGCAAUGGCCUGGGAAAGCAGUGGAAGAUGGCUCAAGUCCUUGGGCCCCUGCACCCACAUGGGAGCCCUAGAAAAUGUUCCUGGAUCCUGGCUUCAGAUCUGUGCAGUUCCAGCUGUUGCAGCCAAUGGGGGAGUGAGCCAGUGGAUGGAAGACCUCUCUCUCUCUCUCUCUCUCUCUCUCUCUCUCUCUCUGCCUCUCCUUCUCUCUCUGUGUCACUCUGAUUUUCAAAUAAAUAAGUCUUUUAUAAAAAGCA